UACGAAGGGGGCUAGCGUUGCUCGGAAUUACUGGGCGUAAAGGGCGCGUAGGCGGACAGUUUAGUCAGAGGUGAAAGCCCAGGGUCAACCUGGAAUUGCCUUUGAUACUGGCUGUCUUGAGUACGGGAGAGGUGAGUGGAACUCCGAGUGUAGAGGUGAAAUUCGUAGAUAUUCGGAAGAACACCAGUGGCGAAGGCGGCUGCACUGGCCC
rnacentral:rRNA from 1 species